rnacentral:rRNA from 1 species
UGGGGAAUAUUGCGCAAUGGGCGAAAGCCUGACGCAGCGACGCCGCGUGGGGGAUGACGGCCUUCGGGUUGUAAACCUCUUUCGCCAGGGACGAAGCGCAAGUGACGGUACCUGGAUAAGAAGCACCGGCCAACUACGUGCCAGCAGCCGCGGUAAUACGUAGGGUGCGAGCGUUGUCCGGAAUUAUUGGGCGUAAAGAGCUCGUAGGCGGUGUGUCACGUCGGUCGUGAAAACUUUCAGCUUAACUGGGAGCUUGCGGUCGAUACGGGCAUCACUGGAGUUCGGCAGGGGAGACUGGAAUUCAAGGUGUAGCGGUGAAAUGCGCAGAUAUCUUGAGGAACACCGGUGGCGAAGGCGGGUCUCUGGGCCGAUACUGACGCUGAGGAGCGAAAGCGUGGGGAGCGAACAGG